ensembl:snRNA U4 U4 spliceosomal RNA
AGCUUUGCACAGUGACUGUAUCAUAGCCAAUGGGGUUUAUCCAAGGCAUGAUUAUUGCUAAUUGAAAACUUUUCCCAAUACCCCGCCAUGACAACUUAAAAUAUAGUCAGCAUUGGCAAUUUUUUACAGUCUCUAUGGAGA